CCUACGGGGGGCAGCAGUGGGGAAUAUUGGACAAUGGGGGCAACCCUGAUCCAGCCAUGCCGCGUGUGUGAAGAAGGCCCUCGGGUUGUAAAGCACUUUCAGUGAGGAAGAACGCCUGGUGGUUAAUACCCAUCAGGAAAGACAUCACUCACAGAAGAAGCACCGGCUAACUCCGUGCCAGCAGCCGCGGUAAUACGGAGGGUGCGAGCGUUAAUCGGAAUUACUGGGCGUAAAGCGCGCGUAGGUGGCUUGAUAAGCCGGUUGUGAAAGCCCCGGGCUCAACCUGGGAACGGCAUCCGGAACUGUCAAGCUAGAGUGCAGGAGAGGAAGGUAGAAUUCCCGGUGUAGCGGUGAAACGCGUAGAGAUCGGGAGGAAUACCAGUGGCGAAGGCGGCCUUCUGGACUGACACUGACACUGAGGUGCGAAAGCGUGGGUAGCAAACAGGAUUAGAUACCCGAGUAGUC
rnacentral:rRNA from 1 species